UACGAAGGGUGCAAACGUUGCUCGGAAUCAUUGGGCGUAAAGCGCACGUAGGCGGCAUCGCAAGUCGGAUGUGAAAUCCCUCGGCUCAACCAAGGAAGUGCAUCCGAAACUGCAGUGCUUGAGUACAGAAGAGGAUCGCGGAAUUCCCGGUGUAGAGGUGAAAUUCGUAGAUAUCGGGAGGAACACCAGUGGCGAAGGCGGCGAUCUGGGCUGAUACUGACGCUGAGGUGCGAAAGCUAGGGGAGCAAACGGG
rnacentral:rRNA from 1 species